rnacentral:rRNA from 1 species
UACGUAGGGAGCAAGCGUUGUCCGGAUUUACUGGGCGUAAAGGGCUCGUAGGCGGCUAAUUAAGUCGGACGUGAAAUCCCCAGGCUCAACCUGGGAACUGCGUCUGAUACUGGAUGGCUUGAAUCCGGGAGGGGGAUGCAGAAUUCCAGGUGUAGCGGUGAAAUGCGUAGAUAUCUGGAGGAAUACCGGUGGCGAAGGCGGCAUCCUGGACCGGCAUUGACGCUGAGGAGCGAAAGCCAGGGGAGCAAACAGG